UCUCCUCACGGCAUGGAAAAUCCCCAAAUGUGCUUAGGGAAAAAAAAAUACACUCAAAAGAAAAAAAAAAAAAAAAAAAAAAAAAAAAAAAAAAAAAAACCCCAAACGCACAAGAAUUGAUUUAUCAUCGGUGCCGGAGUGGUAUGGGAAGAAGCGAUCGCUGCUCGCCUGCUCCCCACAACAGCUCACCCGCCUUUCGCUUAAUUAAAAUCAUAUAUUGGUGUGAUCAGACGUGGUAAUGCCAUUAAAAAAAAAAACAAAUCCCGUAACAUCCACCCACUCGUUGUUGGAGACUGUAGCCAAGAGAUGUAGAUUUUCCUUGGGAGAUUUGGGAAGGAUUAUUUUUUAAUGAAAAAGAGGAAAAAAAUACACCCAGAAAAAAACAAAAACGAACCAAAACAAACAAUGAAAAAGAAACAAAAAGGAAAAAAGCACGACAGAACCAAACCGCAGUAAGUGAAGCUGCAAAUGCAGCCGACUAGUCCGGAUCAGACAAUUCAUUGCACGAAAAAAGGAUAAAUGGAACUGCAAUGGCCGGCUUUGCUGUAGGUCCAGGAGGAGGGAUCAGCUCCUUUAUCCCACCAUCUCGCGCUACGAACACCACCAUUUUUUUCCCUUUCUCUCCUUUUUUUUUUUUUAAAUACGCUUUGUUGGGGCGUUUUGUUUCGAGCCGAGGCGGCUGCACCACCCCCCGAGCCGGGGCUGCCGGAGCCGCUCGGGGGCUUCACUUUUACAGAGAUCUCUUAUUUUUCCCCGGCCUCGUGCAGUCCUCUCCCUUUUAUUACAUGGGUUUGUUUUUUUUCCCCCUCUCCCCUCUGCGGGUAUAAAGGUUUCUCUCCUCUCUCCAGCUUGGCUGCUUGUUCCAGAAGUUUCCACGGGGGCGGGGAGCCCCCACUGCGGCGCCUUUGCCGCAGCGCCGGGCAGGAGGAGGAGGAGGAUGCGGAGGAUGCGCCACCUCUCCCUGGCUGGGAGCCUCAUUCCAAGCCGCUCCCCCUUGCUCCGUUCCCCCAGCCUUGAAAACACAGCACUGGGGAGGUGUUUGCAACUUGGAGGGGUUUUUUUUUUUUGGGGUUGUUUUUUGUUUUUGUUUUUUUCCCCCCUCUAAAUAAAUGGAAAGCAGAGCUGUCGCUGAUGGAGAUGGAUGAGGCAGGGCUGGCAGCGCCGCAGCUCUGCUCCGGCGUGGCCGUGGCACCGAUGGCAUAAGUGACCUUUCCCAGGCGGUGGGAGAGGGGAUUCCCCCCCCGCCCCAGCAUGCUCCUGCUCGGAAUUCAUUUUAAAUAGCAGGAAUAUUAUUUUUUAUUUUCCUUCCCUCCUCCCGUUUCUCCUUCACUGUUUGGUUUUGUUUGUUUUUUGGUUGUUUUUUUUUUUUUUUCUUCCCCGAAGCUUCCUCAUGAUCUUUUAUUUUUUUUCCUGUGUGUGUUUUGAAUUGCAUUUUAAAAUUGCCCAGCUGGAGACAAGGCUUGAUUAGAGCUGGAACAAUAGCUCCCUUUUAUUAAUAACGGGAAGGAUUUACAAUCCUACAGCACCUUCCUUGGAAAGCUUUCCAAACCAUUUGCAAACACUCACAAAUUUCAGAUUGUGCAGCCCUUGGCUGUGAGGUGGGUAAGUAUUUAAUGGUGCCACCACCCAAAAUCACCUCGGUGGCAAACCUCAAUUUCUGAGUGCUUAAAAAGAUGACAAACUUGGUUUGGUUUGGGGGUUUUUCAGUGGGGGGUGGUGGGUGGGGUGACGGGUGUGGGGCUGGCUAAAAGCUGUAACCUAAAUCUGUAGAUGCGGAGUAUUUGCUGCGUCCUGGGAACUGGGCUGUUCUCCCUCCAGCCACGCAGCUUUCCAGAGCCGAGCUGUGGAUUUGCUGCAUGUCAGUAAACAUCUGCUUAUGGAUUUUUUUUUUUUUUUUAAUCCAUUCCCUUUGUGCAGUCCCUAAGUGACCUCCUGCAGCGCUGCCUCCACUGCGGUUCCAGCGCAGCCUUGCACUGGAGCACUAAUGUGUGUCCCUGCGAGCCAGAGUGACCUUGCUGGGGGACUGGACCCACCGAGUGAUUCAGCAGAUCCCUACGAACCACGCAGGGAUCCAGGAGUCACCCAGGCAGUGGGAUCUGGCCUUGCCAGAAGCAUGAGGGACAAGGCUCCAGCCAUGUCUGCAUGUGUCACACACGGGCCACACAAACCCACAGUGUUCCUGUGGUUGCUUCUGUCUGCAGAGCAUCAGUGGGUCCCAGGACUUCCCCUUCCCACUGCUUGCUGGUUCACAAAGGCUGAUGCUUCUGGAAAAAGCUCUGCCUUGUG
ensembl:lncRNA